UACGUAGGGUGCAAGCGUUGUCCGGAAUUAUUGGGCGUAAAGGGCUCGUAGGCGGUCUGUCACGUCGGGAGUGAAAACUCGGGGCUUAACCCCGAGCCUGCUUCCGAUACGGGCAGACUAGAGGUAUGCAGGGGAGAAUGGAAUUCCUGGUGUAGCGGUGAAAUGCGCAGAUAUCAGGAGGAACACCGGUGGCGAAGGCGGUUCUCUGGGCCUUACCUGACGCUGAGGAGCGAAAGCGUGGGGAGCGAACAGG
rnacentral:rRNA from 1 species